UACGUAGGGCGCAAGCGUUAUCCGGAAUUAUUGGGCGUAAAGAGCUCGUAGGCGGUUUGUCGCGUCUGCUGUGAAAGACCGGGGCUCAACUCCGGUUCUGCAGUGGGUACGGGCAGACUAGAGUGCAGUAGGGGAGACUGGAAUUCCUGGUGUAGCGGUGAAAUGCGCAGAUAUCAGGAGGAACACCGGUGGCGAAGGCGGUGGUCUGGGCCGGCACUGACGCUGAGGAGCGAAAGCGUGGGGAGCGAACAGG
rnacentral:rRNA from 1 species